rnacentral:rRNA from 1 species
GAUGAACGCUGGCGGCGUGCCUAAUACAUGCAAGUCGAGCGAACAGACGAGGAGCUUGCUCCUCUGACGUUAGCGGCGGACGGGUGAGUAACACGUGGAUAACCUACCUAUAAGACUGGGAUAACUUCGGGAAACCGGAGCUAAUACCGGAUAAUAUAUUGAACCGCAUGGUUCAAUAGUGAAAGACGGUUUUGCUGUCACUUAUAGAUGGAUCCGCGCCGCAUUAGCUAGUUGGUAAGGUAACGGCUUACCAAGGCAACGAUGCGUAGCCGACCUGAGAGGGUGAUCGGCCACACUGGAACUGAGACACGGUCCAGACUCCUACGGGAGGCAGCAGUAGGGAAUCUUCCGCGAUGGGCGAAAGCCUGACGUAGCAACGCCGCGUGAGUGAUGAAGGUCUUCGGAUCGUAAAACUCUGUUAUUAGGGAAGAACAAAUGUGUAAGUAACUAUGCACGUCUUGACGGUACCUAAUCAGAAAGCCACGGCUAACUACGUG